rnacentral:lncRNA from 1 species
AUGCUCUUUAUACAAGUGUUGUUGGGUGUUUUCUUGCAACUUCAUUCAAGCAGUGCAGUUUCUAAGGACAUUUUUAUGGACACCAUGUUGGAAGCCAACGCCACACCUGAUGACACGGAGGCUUCCGUUCAAGAAAUCCCAGAAGGUCCCAGAGUGGUCCAGACCCCUCUGAAGAGCCAGCAGGAGAAGAGGAGUAUAGAAGAGAGGUUGGGAUUGUACCACACCCUGCCCAAGAGACGUGAACGCAUUGGCUUCUAUAAGGGCAGGCCCAUCUCGUCCAAAGUUGACUCCUUCCGACUGAAGAAGCCCUUGUAGGCCUGUCAUGGCUGAGUCUUCCCCUUUGUUCUGUUACCAGGAUUCUGGUGCAACCAUGAAGCAAACAUCUCUUUGGAUAAAUUAAGAGCCGCAACGACCUGCCGUAUGAAAUUCCAUACACAUUCACAAGCACCAAUAUGAGCUGCAUUUUGCUUGUCUCUAGCAAGGUUGCUCUGGUCUCCUCCUCCUCCUUGCCCUCUGCAUUCUUCUUCUUUUUGCAAACCUUGAAGCUUUCAAUGCUAAAGAAUGUUCAUAAGGCAAACACUUCCAUGUUAGAAGGAUUAAGUUGGGACGCUAAAUAUGUAUAUAUAACUUCUGCUGUACAAAAUGAUUCUCCUCUGCUUCUCAUUAGGUUUCACCGUUAUUUCAUUAUUAUCAUUUUGUAAUAAAAAGAUUUGAA